UGUUCAGGGGUAAACCUGUGGUUCCCGAAAGUUCGAACGGGGAGAUUCAAUUGCCUCGCCGGUUAUGACCAUUUAACAGUGAUGUGUUUAUGAUAUAUAUUUGAGACAUUAUAUGGCGGUUGCGGGUUUAUUCUCGUAGCUGUUUCUGUAUAGUGCUCCACUGUUUUAUGAUAUAUAGUUUAUAGCCGGAGGCGUGCACUUCUCCCCUUGUAGGACGUCGUGACCCAUUGGAUUAUGUUGUCUAAGGCUUAUAAUGGAGACCGUGGCAUUAAGUUUCGGCUUUAAUGACCCGGACUUAUAAUGUCCCGACAUCUAUCCGAUGGUAUAAUUAUGAUGAUAGAUCGCUAUAAAUGUGAUAUGAGCGUUCAGAUCCAUAACAAAUUCUUUUUAUGAAAUAGUGGAAAUCGGAUUUAAUGCCGAUUCUACACAUAUAGUAUUGAUAGUUGUGGUAUUCUCGAACCGUUCUUUAUCAUCAGUCAACGGCGUUUAUGUUUUGGGUAAUUACAGGACCCGUCUUGAAACACGGACCAAGGAGUCUAGCAUGUGCGCAAGUCAUUGGGACUUUGUGAAACCUAAAGGCGUAAUGAAAGUGAAAUAUUUGUGAAUUUUCGUAAUUCACUGAAUUUAAGGGAAGAUGGGUAACGUUUUUUAUGUUACCUCGCAUUCCCGGGGCGUCGCGUACUUAUUGCAAGUUGCGGCGCACCAAGAGCGUACACGCUGGGACCCGAAAGAUGGUGAACUAUGCCUGGUCAGGAUGAAGUCAGGGGAAACCCUGAUGGAGGUCCGUAGCGAUUCUGACGUGCAAAUCGAUCGUAUGAACUGGGUAUAGGGGCGAAAGACUAAUCGAACCAUC
rnacentral:rRNA from 1 species